CGCGUAGGCGGAUUGGAGAGUUGGGGGUGAAAUCCCGGGGCUCAACCCCGGAACUGCCUCCAAAACUCCCAGUCUAGAGUUCGAGAGAGGUGAGUGGAAUUCCGAGUGUAGAGGUGAAAUUCGUAGAUAUUCGGAGGAACACCAGUGGCGAAGGCGGCUCACUGGCUCGAUACUGACGCUGAGGUGCGAAAGCGUGGGGAGCAAACA
rnacentral:rRNA from 1 species